UUUACAGGUGAGGAAAAUGAGGCAAUCAGGAUUAAGUGCCUUGACCAGGGUCAAAAAGCUAGUAAAUAUCUGAAGCCAGAUUUGAACUCAUGAAGAGGAGUCUUCCUGUUCCAAGCCUAGUGCUCUAUCUACUGUGCCACCUAGCUGCCAUUCCAGCUGUCCUACUUACCUGUGAUGUACUUCCUGUGUGACCAUCCUAGCCAUGAUAAUCGUCAGGACUUAAUCAAGUCUUUAUUGAACUGAGAGGCAGUAAAGCUAGAAUCCUGGGAAUGGAGAUGAGAAAACUUGGGGAGAACAUCACCGGAGCUGCUUUUAAGUGUUUGAAGAGAUACCAUCUGGAAUCUAAACUGGAUGCCAAUGUGAAUGAAUUGAAGGAUGAAGCAAAUCUAAUAGAUUUUAAUCAAGAACAAUUUCCUCAAUUCAGAUAG
rnacentral:lncRNA from 1 species